rnacentral:lncRNA from 1 species
CAGCUGAUGAAAAACUGAGAUCCUUCAUGACAGCGUGCUCUCCUCCCUCUUCCUAAGCUCCCGUUGUUUGUGGGACGCGCCGCUCUCUCCUGGUUCUCCUCCUCCCUCUCUGACCACUGGUGUCCCCCUUGCUGGACCUUCCUCCAGAUCGCCCCUGUCGGGCCCUUUUCUCUGCGGACCGCUUCACCCGGAGAUCGCAUCAACUCCCGCGGACUUAAUUACCCUCCAUGUUGAGGAUUUCUCUUUUUCUGCCUUUCCUCCCUCUGCUGACCUUGAACUUUGCUUCCCCGAGCGCCUCUCGGGCAUUUCCUGCUGGGUGGCCAGUGGUUCGCUUAGACGCGUCCAAAACUGAAGUCCUAUCCUCCCCCUCAGCCUCCCUCACCUUCCCGUCCCUAUGACUGAAGAGACCAUCAUCCUCGGCCCCCAACCUCCCUCGCCUCCUGAGCCAUUGAAGAGUCCGCCCUUUGGUUCUUGGAAGCCAUCUAGUCCACGCCACACCUAGAGCAGAAUCCCUGGCCCAAACCUAACUCUGCUGGAGGCCCUGUGGUGCUGGGAGCCCAGGACUCCCCAAGUAGCCUCUUCCACUUGGGGAACUUCUGAUGGGGAAGAUGGAGGUCAGUGGAAUUGACGUUGGCUUCUAAUUGGCGGAUGGAUGAAUGAAUAAAACAAUUCAUUAGGUUCUUGACCAUGUACCUCAAGCGCUGUGCUUAGCUCUGGAAAUAGAGAUAUAAAGACAAAAGCUUUCCUUACUCUCAGGGAGCUUGGUCUCUGAUGGGGGCGACAUCACGUAGAGGGGUGGACCCUCUGGGAGGACAUUGGGUUUGGGAACUUGUAGAAAUGGUGAGUGGAACUAUAGGAGGCGGCCUUUCCGAUAGGAAUGGCCGGCGUGGGUUUGAGUAGAAUUAGAAAGGGG